rnacentral:lncRNA from 1 species
AUGAACCCAAACUGAUUGUCUGAUAUAAACAUCGUCUUCAUCACCCUCUCCUAGACUUUCAUGGUAUGGCUAAGUAACUUGAUACCCAUAUAAUUGUUACAACACUGUAUAUCACCUUUUUUCUUGGACAACGGUACCACUGUACUCGACCUCUAAUCCUCGGGCACCCUCUUCGUCCUAAAAAUUGUAUGGAACAACCCAGUCAGCCACUCAAAUCCUGCUCUACCCACACACUUCCAAAACUCAACCGAAAUUUUAUCUGGCACGGUCGAUCUACCCC